rnacentral:rRNA from 1 species
GAUGAACGCUGGCGGCGUGCUUAACACAUGCAAGUCGAACGGGAUCCGGGCUUUCGGGUUUGGUGAGAGUGGCGAACGGGUGAGUAACACGUGAGUAACCUGCCCCCUUCUUUGGGAUAACGUCGGGAAAUCGGCGCUAAUACUGGAUAUUCUUGCUGCAUCGCAUGGUGUGGUUUGGAAAGGGUUUCUGGUGGGGGAUGGGCUCGCGGCCUAUCAGCUUGUUGGUGGGGUGAUGGCCUACCAAGGCUUUGACGGGUAGCCGGCCUGAGAGGGUGUCCGGCCACACUGGGACUGAGACACGGCCCAGACUCCUACGGGAGGCAGCAGUGGGGAAUAUUGCACAAUGGGCGCAAGCCUGAUGCAGCGACGCCGCGUGAGGGAUGACGGCCUUCGGGUUGUAAACCUCUUUCAGUAUGGAACAAGGAUCCUUCUUUUGGGGGGUUUGAGGGUACGUGCAGAAGAAGCGCCGGCUAACUACGUG